GUACUGUUCCUGAUGAGGACUUCUUCCUUUGUCCGAAGAGGAACUUUAGUUUGCCUUGGAACUGCAUUGUCUGGAAGUAUACGGACUGGCACAGCCCAAGGAUUGUGCAGACAGGUGCCCAAGAUAGCCAGAUACAGAACACAGAGCUUGGAAGGAACCCUCCGUCCCUGCCUCAAGUGUCUGUGGAGUCAGAAGGCAGGGAUCAAGGAGCAACAGUGGAGGCAACAUAUAUCAGAUCACACUAAGAAAUAAUGAAAAUGUUCUGCAGCCAAUUGAGGAAGCUGUUACGGAAAUUGCUAAAAAUUGCUUUAUGGAUGGGUGAA